rnacentral:rRNA from 1 species
ACGAACGCUGGCGGCGUGCCUAAUACAUGCAAGUUGAGCGAUGAAGAUUUUUUCUUGCCCCAAUUUGAAGAGCAUCGCACUGUUGAUUAACGCGUUGGUAAUCUUCCUUUGAGCUUUGUCCCCCAUUUGGAAACUAAUUCUAACACCGCAUAAUCACUUUAAACAUAAGUUUUAAGUUUGAAAGAUGCAAUUUCAUCACUCACAGAUGUUCCCCCGUUGUAUUAUCUCUUUGGUGAGGUAAAUGCUCACCAAGGCGAUGAUACAUAGCCGACCUGGGAGGGUGGUCGGCCACAUUGGGACUGAGACAAGGCCCAAACUCCCAAGGGAGGCAGGCGUAAGGAAUCUUCGGGAAAGGACGGAAGUCUGGACGAGCCACGGCGGGUGAGGGAAGAAGGGUUUCGGAUCGUAAAAAUCUGUUGGUAGGGAAGAACGUUAGUGGGAGUGGAAAACUCAUCAAGUGACGGUAACUACCCAGAAAGGGACGGCUAACUACGUG